AAUCAAGCCCUGAACACGGAGAUGGCUGGCCAGCCUUUGAACAGUCUGAGAAAUACGAGUCCUCUUUCUCGUCUAAAAGUGCAUGGUUGUCUGGCUCCGAGUUUGGGGAGGAGGCACUGGUCCCAAGGUGGUUAGUGAUGACUCCAGAGUGUUGGCUCACUGCACAGGGGACAAGGGACAAGAGAAGAACCAGGAGAAAGAAUCAGCAAUAUUCACGUACAAGAAUGGAUAUUUCCAUGAAGAUUCUCAUAUGUGACCCAGAGGGACUUAAAUUGGGGAUUUCUCUCUCCAGUGCCCCUAACAGAAUUACAC